rnacentral:rRNA from 1 species
GAUGAACGCUGGCGGCGUGCUUAACACAUGCAAGUCGAACGAAGCACUUUAUUUGAUUUCCUUCGGGACUGAUUAUUUUGUGACUGAGUGGCGGACGGGUGAGUAACGCGUGGGUAACCUGCCUUGUACAGGGGGAUAACAGUUGGAAACGGCUGCUAAUACCGCAUAAGCGCACAGCAUCGCAUGAUGCAGUGUGAAAAACUCCGGUGGUAUAAGAUGGACCCGCGUUGGAUUAGCUAGUUGGUGAGGUAACGGCCCACCAAGGCGACGAUCCAUAGCCGACCUGAGAGGGUGACCGGCCACAUUGGGACUGAGACACGGCCCAAACUCCUACGGGAAGCAGCAGUGGGGAAUAUUGCACAAUGGGCGAAAGCCUGAUGCAGCGACGCCGCGUGAGCGAAGAAGUAUUUCGGUAUGUAAAACUCUAUCAGCAGGGAAGAUAAUGACGGUACCUGACGAAGAAGCACCGGCUAAAUACGUG